UUUAUUCUUUUAUUAUAA
rnacentral:tRNA from 1 species